GCCCGGAUGGUGUAGCCUGGAUAACACGCUGGCCUGUGGAGCGCGAACCCACAGGCAGCGCGCAGAGAGCCAGUGAACCCGGGUUCAAAUCCCGGUCCGGGCC
rnacentral:tRNA from 1 species